CAGUAGCCGCGGGAAUACGGAGGGCGCGAGCGUUACCCGGAUUUACUGGGCGUAAAGGGCGUGUAGGCGGCCUGGGGCGUCCCAUGUGAAAGGCCACGGCUCAACCGUGGAGGAGCGUGGGAUACGCUAAGGCUAGAGGGUGGGAGAGGGUGGUGGAAUUCCCGGAGUAGCGGUGAAAUGCGCAGAUACCGGGAGGAACGCCGAUGGCGAAGGCAGCCACCUGGUCCACUUCUGACGCUGAGGCGCGAAAGCGUGGGGAGCAAACCGGAUUAGAUACCCCGGUAGUCCCUGUCUCUUAUAA
rnacentral:rRNA from 1 species